rnacentral:lncRNA from 10 species
GGGGUUUCACCAUGUUGGCCAGGCUGGUUUUGAACUCCUGUGCUCAAGUGAUCCGCUGGCCUGGGCAUCCCAAAGUGCUGGGAUUACAGGCGUGAGCCACCACGCCCAGCCUCUCUAUAAUUUUAUAUUAGUGAGGUUGUUUGCUGAAUGUCUUUAUUCUUCACUCAAAUGAGGGGACGCUCUGGGGGUCAGAAGGCAAAUGCCCCAGGCUCAACAGAGGCAGAGUGGGAGCAGGCUCUGGGACAGGUGGCUGGGCAAGGCCACCUGGACUCCCCAAAGGAGUGCUCCUAAGCCUGGGAAAGGGAGGGAGAGCUGGCUGGGGUCUUCUCUCAUCUCAGGGAGGCCUGGGUUGAUGCUGAGCUGCAGAUGGGAGGGAAGCUGGGCCCACAGCGAAGGUGUGAAGGGCCAGCAGAUUCUCCCCACUCCAAGGCCCAGACACUAUUCACAUUGAGUCUCUGGCAGGAAGGAAUGGAGGAAGGGCGGCCUGCAUCUACACCCCAACAGAGUUGGGGACCACAGCCUUCCUCUUUCCUGGGGAACUCAAAUGACCUCAAAACUUGAAAACUUGAUGGGAUCAAGCUGUCCUUUCCCUGAGACAGGUCUUUGCUCAUCUGACUUCAGUGAUGGGAAUAUGCCCAUACUCGCUUAUUCUAGGUAGCAGAGUACCUUAUGUUUCCUUGAAACAUUUCAUUUCUUCUUUAUUAUUAUUUUUUUUUUUGAGAUGGAGUUUUUCACUCUUGUCGCCCAGGCUGGAGUGCCCGUGGUGGUGAGAGGUGAAGCCAGCUGGACUUCCUGGGUGGAGUGGUGACUAGGAGAACUUUUCUGUAGCUAACUAGAGGUUUGUAAAAUGCAC